rnacentral:rRNA from 1 species
GCAGCCGCGGUAAUACGUAGGUGGCAAGCGUUGUCCGGAUUUACUGGGUGUAAAGGGCGCGUAGGCGGGAAAGCAAGUCAGGUGUGAAAUCUAUGGGCUCAACCCAUAAACUGCACUUGAAACUGUUUUUCUUGAGUGUCGGAGAGGUAGAUGGAAUUCCUAGUGUAGCGGUGAAAUGCGUAGAUAUUAGGAGGAACACCAGUGGCGAAGGCGAUCUACUGGACGAUAACUGACGCUGAGGCGCGAAAGCGUGGGGAGCAAACAGGAUUAGAUACCCC